GCGAUACCGCGAAUGGCUCAAUAUAUCAGUUUUGGUUCCUUAGAUCUUACUCAGUUACUUGGAUAACUGUGGCAAUUCUAGAGCUAAUACAUGCAAUCAGAACUCUGACCAGUGAUGGAAUGAGUGCUUUUAUUAGAUCAAAACCAAUCGACGGCGGNGUUCGCGUCCAAAGUCGUUCUUUUUGAUGAAUCUGGAUAACUUUUGCCGAUCGCACGGUCUCGUACCGGCGACGCAUCUUUCAAAUGUCUGCCUUAUCAACUUUCGAUGGUAGUUUCUGCGACUACCAUGGUUGUCACGGGUAACGGGGAAUCAGGGUUCGAUUCCGGAGAGGGAGCCUGAGAAACGGCUACCACAUCCAAGGAAGGCAGCAGGCGCGCAAAUUACCCACUCCCGGCACGGGGAGGUAGUGACGAAAAAUAACGAUACGGGACUCUUACGAGGCCUCGUAAUCGGAAUGAGUACACUUUAAAUAUUUUAACGAGGAACAAUUGGAGGGCAAGUCUGGUGCCAGCAGCCGCGGUAAUUCCAGCUCCAAUAGCGUAUACUAAAAUUGUUGCGGUUAAAAAGCUCGUAGUUGCAUUUGUGCGCCGCGCUGUCGGUGACACCGCAUCUGCGGUAUACUGACACGUUUGCGGAGCAUAUCGUCGGUGAAUCUCGGUAAAACGGAGGUUCAAUAUCAAAAAUCCUAUCUGCGUGCUCUUCAGUGAGUGUCGAGAUGGGCCGACAAUUUACUUGACAAUUUCAUUUGAACAAAUUAGAGUGMUUAAAGGCGGGCUCAAAAUGCUGCUGAUAUUUAGUGCAUGGAAUAAUAGAAUAUGAUCUCGGUUCUAUUUUGUUGGUUUUCAGAACUCCGAGGUAAUGAUUAAUAGGGAUAACUGGGGGCAUUCGUAUUGCGACGUUAGAGGUGAAAUUCUUGGAUCGUCGCAAGACGAACAUCAGCGAAAGCAUUUGCCAAAGGUGUUUUCAUCAAUCAAGAACGAAAGUUAGAGGUUCGAAGGCGAUUAGAUACCGCCCUAGUUCUAACCGUAAAUAUGUCAUCUAGCGAUCCGCCGACGUUACUACAAUGGCUCGGCGGGCAGCUU
rnacentral:rRNA from 1 species